rnacentral:lncRNA from 1 species
ACUAUGAUUUUUUGACCAAGAAGCUCUCCUCUUAUAAACAGAAUAUGUCUGUGUACCAAGAUGCUUGACGCUGCUCUCCUCUUAUAAACAGAAUAUGUUCUGUUACCAAGAUGCUUGACGCUGCUCUCCUCUUAUAAACAGAAUAUGUUUCUUUGUCCAAGAUGCUUGACGCUCCUUCCUCCCUCUAUAAACAGAAUAUGGUUCUGUGUACCAAGAUGCUUGACGCGCCUCCUCUUAUAAACAGAAAUGUUCUUUGUACCAAGAUGAUUGACGCUCCUCUCCUCCUCUUAUAAACAGAAUAUGUUCUUUGUACCAAGAUGCUGGACCGCUCCUCUCCUCUUAUAAACAGAAUGUUCUGUGACCAAGAUGCUUGACGCUGCUCUCCUCUUAAAACAGAAUAGGUUCUUUGUACAAGAUGCUUUGACGCUCCUCUCCUCCUCUUAUAAACAGAAUAUGUUUCUUUGUACCAAGAUGCUUGAAGCUGCCGCCUCUUAUAAACAGAAUAUUUCUUUUGUACCAAGAUACUGGACGCUCCUCUCCUCCUCUUAUAAACAGAAUAUGUUUCUUUGAGCCAAGAUGCGUUGACGCUCCUCUCCUCUCUUAUAAAAGAAUAUGUUUAUUUGAGCCAAGAUGCUUGACGCUGCUCUCCUCCUUUUGUAAACAGAAAUAUGUUAUUUGAGCCAAGAUGCUUGACGCUGCUCUCCUCUUAUAAACAGAAUAUGUUAUUUGUACCAAGAUGCUUGAGCUCUGCUCUCCUCUUAUAAAACAGAAAUUUUUCUUGUACCAAGAUACUGGACGCUCCUUCCUCCUCCUUAUAAACAGAAUAUGUUCUCUGAGCCAAGAUGCUUGAACGCUCCUCUCCUCCCUUAAAACAGAAUAUGUUCUUUGAGCCAAGAUGCUUGACGCUCCUCUCCUCCUCUUAUAAACAGAAUAUGUUCUUUGUACCAAGAUGCUUGACGCUCCUCUCCCCUCUUAUAAACAGAAUAGUGUUCUUUGUACCAAUGCUUGAACGCGCCUCUCCUUAUAAACAGAAUAUUUUUCUUUGUACCAAGAUGACUGGACGCUCCUCUCCUCUCUUUAUAAACAGAAUAUGUUCUUUGAGCAAAGAUGCUUGACGCCCUCCUCCCCUCUUAUAA